AUGCAUGUCUCAGUACAAGCCAAAUUAAGGUGAAACCGCGAAAGGCUCAUUAAAUCAGUUAUGGUUCCUUAGAUCGUACCCACAUUUACUUGGAUAACUGUGGUAAUUCUAGAGCUAAUACAUGCAAACAGAGGUCCGACCGGAGACGGAAGGUCCGCUUUUAUUAGAUCAAAACCAAUCGGCUUCGGGUUCGCUCGUUGUCGUACAUCUUGGUGACUCUGAAUAACUUUUUGCUGAUCGCACGGUCUUGCACCGGCGACGCAUCUUUCAAAUGUCUGCCUUAUCAACUGUCGAUGGUAGGUUCUGCGCCUACCAUGGUUGUAACGGGUAACGGGGAAUCAGGGUUCGAUUCCGGAGAGGGAGCCUGAGAAACGGCUACCACAUCCAAGGAAGGCAGCAGGCGCGCAAAUUACCCACUCCCGGCACGGGGAGGUAGUGACGAAAAAUAACGAUACGGGACUCAUCCGAGGCCCCGUAAUCGGAAUGAGUACACUCUAAACCCUUUAACGAGGAUCAAUUGGAGGGCAAGUCUGGUGCCAGCAGCCGCGGUAAUUCCAGCUCCAAUAGCGUAUAUUAAAGUUGUUGCGGUUAAAAAGCUCGUAGUCGAAUCUGUGUCUCGUGCCGCCGGUUCAUCGCUCGCGGUGUUUAACUGGCGUGUCGCGGGACGUCCUGCCGGUGGGCUUAGCUCUCGGUCCUCCGGGCCGGAGGGCGGCCCAACUUCACAAUCCCACCGCGGUGCUCUUCGCUGAGUGUCGAGGUGGGCCGGCACGUUUACUUUGAACAAAUUAGAGUGCUUAAAGCAGGCUAAAACUUCGCCUGAAUAUUCUGUGCAUGGAAUAAUGGAAUAGGACCUCGGUUCUAUUUUGUUGGUUUUCGGAACCCCGAGGUAAUGAUUAAUAGGAACGGAUGGGGGCAUUCGUAUUGCGACGUUAGAGGUGAAAUUCUUGGAUCGUCGCAAGACGGACGGAAGCGAAAGCAUUUGCCAAAAACGUUUUCAUUGAUCAAGAACGAAAGUUAGAGGUUCGAAGGCGAUCAGAUACCGCCCUAGUUCUAACCAUAAACGAUGCCAGCUAGCGAUCCGCCGACGUUCCUCCGAUGACUCGGCGGGCAGCUCCG
rnacentral:rRNA from 1 species